UGAGCUACUAGGGAAGCCCCAUCAGAUAAAAUAGACCUCAAAGCAAAAUUUAUCAGCAGAGAAAGGAGCGCCAUGCAUAACUGAUUGUGUGUGUUAGUUUUUCAGUCCUGUCUGACUCUGCGACCCCAUAGACUGUAGCCUGCCAGGCUCCUCUGUCCAUGGGAUUCUCCAGGGCUUCCUGUUCGGCUCCUUUAUCUGCCUCAGGGGCGGACAGCUAGCCUUCCCUGCCCUGGCCGCAGAAGGAGAGCACCUAGCAAGGAACAGAGGUGACUGCUGCAAGAUGAGCUUCACAUCCCAGGUGACUGGAACAGAAGUCCUCAGCUUGUCUGUCUUACCUUUUCUCCAGAUAAACAGAAGGUACCAGGUGACUGAUGUUUAGGUCGAAGGGCACAA
ensembl:lncRNA